UACGUAGGGUGCAAGCGUUGACCGGAAUUAUUGGGCGUAAAGAGCUCGUAGGCGGCUUGGCGCGUCUGCUGUGAAAUUUCGGGGGUCAACCCCGGAACUGCAGUGGGUACGGUCUGACUAGAGUGCGGUAGAGUAGACUGGAAUUCCUGGUGUAGCGGUGGAAUGCGCAGAUAUCAUGAGGAAAACCUGUGGCGAAGGGGGGUCUCUGGGCCGCAACUGACGCUGAGGAGCGAAAGCGUGGGGAGCGAUCAGG
rnacentral:rRNA from 1 species